CAAAACAAAUGCAUCAUAGAUUUUGUCACUCCCAGUACAAAAAAAAGUUAAACGUCCAAAGAAAAACUAAAUGACCUCUAGAAACAGCGACUGUGUACAGAACACUUUUUCACCAGCAGAGCAAAACAAAAGCAGCGCCCAGUUGUGUGUGUAAACAAUACAAUUUGUCUCCAUGACUUACGCGUAUAUUCCGCGCGUUGAGCGGGGGGGGGGGGGAGAAGAGAGAGAAAAAGGUGUGAGAAUGGAGCGAUUACAGAACCUUUAAAGAAAAGUAGAACAUAAUGGAGUAGUUGCUAAACCUUUAAAGAUAACAUCAUGGAAAGUUGCUGAACCUUUAAAGAAAGGAACGUAGGACAGAAUGGAGUGUUUGCUGAACGCAGAAUGCUGUCGUUUCUGAACCUUUAAAGGAGGAAAGCGUUUAGGCCCCACAGCAGAAGCGUCCACGUUGCAGGGCUGGAAACUGGAAGUUUCCCGAGCUAUUUCUGCUACCACCAUCAUCUAUUGUAACAAGUGGUGGCUUCCACUGAUUGUCGCCGGAAGCUUGCGUCCUUUUCAAGACGGACGAUGACAGCGAGGUCAACAUUUGAAACAUGGAAGAUAGACACGAAAGAGGAAGAAGAAGCAUUGUAUACAAAGAAUCGUACAAGAUUUAAUCAAUUGGCAAUCUCCAUCCCACGCCCAACAUUACUGAAAGACGCUGGUGACCCACUGAGUUCCUCCACCUCGUUGUGUGUUCAAUUUAGAACGAUUCCUCUCCGAGCUCCCUGUGUGAGAUGAUAUCAACAUCAAUUAUUGGAAUAGCUCAAUUAAAAGAAACACAAGCUUGUGCAAUUGUGUUGGCCUAGGCAAAUCCAAAUGACCAAUAAACCUGCCAGCACCCUACUGCUUGUCACUCCUUACCAUAAUUCAGGAUUUUCAUCUUGUUGUAUGUUUGAAGGACCAUGCUUACAAUUUAAAUUCUUGUUGUAACUUCAAAAUGCCUUUCUAAUGAUGGAUUUAUUUAUUUGUGUUAGUGCUUUUAUUGAGACCAGUUCAUUUGACGUCAUUAGAUUCUCUUAUGUCUGAGAAAACAAAUCUAAAAAAACAGAUACAAAUUGAGAGAGUAACUCAGCGGAUCAAGCAGCAUCUCUGGGGGAAAAAAAGACACAAGGUGCUGGAGUAACUCAGCAGGUCAGGCAGCAUCUCUGGAGAACAUGGAUGGGCAACAUCAGUCUGAAGGAGGGUCCCGAUCCGAAACGUCACAUAUCCAUGUUCUCCAGAGAUGCUGCCUGAUCAGCCGAGUUACUCCAGCACUUUGUGCCUUUUUUUUGUUAACCAGCAUCUGCAGUUCCUUGUAUCUGGAAAAAAAGUAAACUUGGUCAUUGUUUGAGAAUUCAAAACUUGUGCUUUAAUGACACUGCGGCAUAACAGGUAAUCAAAUUUAAAAUCAUAACUAUUCUAAUUGCAUCAUAUAUUAAAUGUUUAUCUUUUAUCUCAUAUAUUAUAUGUUUAUCAUCUGCCACAGAAGGCAGUGGAGGCCAAUUCACUGGAUGUGUUCAAGAGAAAGUUAGAUUUAGCUCUUAGGGCUAACGGAAUCGAGGGAUAUGGGGAAAAAGCGGGAACCGGUUACUGAUUUUGGAAGU